UGGGGAAUCUUGCGCAAUGGGCGAAAGCCUGACGCAGCGACGCCGCGUGAGUGAUGAAGGCCUUCGGGUUGUAAAGCUCUGUGGGGCGAGACGAAUAAGUGCAGCCUAAUACGUUGCAUGAUGACGGUAUCGCCUUAGCAAGCACCGGCUAACUCUGUGCCAGCAGCCGCGGUAAGACAGAGGGUGCAAACGUUGUUCGGAAUUACUGGGCGUAAAGCGAGUGUAGGCGGUUUGAAAAGUCAGGUGUGAAAGCCCCGGGCUCAACUCGGGAAGUGCACUUGAAACUCUCAAGCUAGAGUGUCGGAGAGGUUGGUGGAAUUCUCGGUGUAGAGGUGAAAUUUCGUAGAUAUCGAGAGGAACACCGGUGGCGAAGGCGGCCAACUGGACGAACACUGACGCUGAGACUCGAAAGCGGUGGGGAGCAAACAGGAUUAGAUACCCUGGUACGUCCACGCCGUAAACGAUGGGUGC
rnacentral:rRNA from 1 species